rnacentral:rRNA from 1 species
UUAAGGGCGCACGGGGGAUGCCUUGGCACUAGAAGCCAAUGAAGGACGUUACUAACGACGAUAUGCUUUGGGGAGCUGUAAGUAAGCUUUGAUCCAGAGAUUUCCGAAUGGGGAAACCCAGCAUGAGUUAUGUCAUGUUAUCGAUAUGUGAAUACAUAGCAUAUCAGAAGGCGCACCCGGAGAACUGAAACAUCUUAGUACCCGGAGGAAGAGAAAGAAAAUUCGAUUCCCUUAGUAGCGGCGAGCGAAACGGGAAGAGCCCAAACCAACAAGCUUGCUUGUUGGGGUUGUAGGACACUCUAUACGGAGUUACAAAGGACGACAUUAGACGAAUCAUCUGGAAAGAUGAAUCAAAGAAGGUAAUAAUCCUGUAGUCGAAAAUGUUGUCUCUCUUGAGUGGAUCCUGAGUACGACGGAGCACGUGAAAUUCCGUCGGAAUCUGGGAGGACCAUCUCCUAAGGCUAAAUACUCUCUAGUGACCGAUAGUGAACCAGUACCGUGAGGGAAAGGUGAAAAGCACCCCGGAAGGGGAGUGAAAUAGAACCUGAAACCGUGUGCUUACAAGUAGUCAGAGCCCGUUAAUGGGUGAUGGCGUGCCUUUUGUAGAAUGAACCGGCGAGUUACGAUUUGAUGCAAGGUUAAGCAGUAAAUGUGGAGCCGUAGCGAAAGCGAGUCUGAAUAGGGCGUUUAGUAUUUGGUCGUAGACCCGAAACCAGGUGAUCUACCCUUGGUCAGGUUGAAGUUCAGGUAACACUGAAUGGAGGACCGAACCGACUUACGUUGAAAAGUGAGCGGAUGAACUGAGGGUAGCGGAGAAAUUCCAAUCGAACCUGGAGAUAGCUGGUUCUCUCCGAAAUAGCUUUAGGGCUAGCCUCAAGUGAUGAUUAUUGGAGGUAGAGCACUGUUUGGACGAGGGGCCCCUCUCGGGUUACCGAAUUCAGACAAACUCCGAAUGCCAAUUAAUUUAACUUGGGAGUCAGAACAUGGGUGAUAAGGUCCGUGUUCGAAAGGGAAACAGCCCAGACCACCAGCUAAGGUCCCAAAAUAUAUGUUAAGUGGAAAAGGAUGUGGCGUUGCCCAGACAACUAGGAUGUUGGCUUAGAAGCAGCCAUCAUUUAAAGAGUGCGUAAUAGCUCACUAGUCGAGUGACACUGCGCCGAAAAUGUACCGGGGCUAAACAUAUUACCGAAGCUGUGGAUUGUCCUUUGGACAAUGGUAGGAGAGCGUUCUAAGGGCGUUGAAGCAUGAUCGUAAGGACAUGUGGAGCGCUUAGAAGUGAGAAUGCCGGUGUGAGUAGCGAAAGACGGGUGAGAAUCCCGUCCACCGAUUGACUAAGGUUUCCAGAGGAAGGCUCGUCCGCUCUGGGUUAGUCGGGUCCUAAGCUGAGGCCGACAGGCGUAGGCGAUGGAUAACAGGUUGAUAUUCCUGUACCACCUAUAAUCGUUUUAAUCGAUGGGGGGACGCAGUAGGAUAGGCGAAGCGUGCGAUUGGAUUGCACGUCUAAGCAGUAAGGCUGAGUAUUAGGCAAAUCCGGUACUCGUUAAGGCUGAGCUGUGAUGGGGAGAAGACAUUGGGUCUUCGAGUCGUUGAUUUCACACUGCCGAGAAAAGCCUCUAGAUAGAAAAUAGGUGCCCGUACCGCAAACCGACACAGGUAGUCAAGAUGAGAAUUCUAAGGUGAGCGAGCGAACUCUCGUUAAGGAACUCGGCAAAAUGACCCCGUAACUUCGGGAGAAGGGGUGCUCUUUAGGGUUAACGCCCAGAAGAGCCGCAGUGAAUAGGCCCAAGCGACUGUUUAUCAAAAACACAGGUCUCUGCUAAACCGUAAGGUGAUGUAUAGGGGCUGACGCCUGCCCGGUGCUGGAAGGUUAAGAGGAGUGGUUAGCUUCUGCGAAGCUACGAAUCGAAGCCCCAGUAAACGGCGGCCGUAACUAUAACGGUCCUAAGGUAGCGAAAUUCCUUGUCGGGUAAGUUCCGACCCGCACGAAAGGCGUAACGAUUUGGGCACUGUCUCAACGAGAGACUCGGUGAAAUCAUAGUACCUGUGAAGAUGCAGGUUACCCGCGACAGGACGGAAAGACCCCGUGGAGCUUUACUGUAGCCUGAUAUUGAAAUUCGGCACAGCUUGUACAGGAUAGGUAGGAGCCUUUGAAACGUGAGCGCUAGCUUACGUGGAGGCGCUGGUGGGAUACUACCCUAGCUGUGUUGGCUUUCUAACCCGCACCACUUAUCGUGGUGGGAGACAGUGUCAGGCGGGCAGUUUGACUGGGGCGGUCGCCUCCUAAAAGGUAACGGAGGCGCUCAAAGGUUCCCUCAGAAUGGUUGGAAAUCAUUCAUAGAGUGUAAAGGCAUAAGGGAGCUUGACUGCGAGACCUACAAGUCGAGCAGGGUCGAAAGACGGACUUAGUGAUCCGGUGGUUCCGCAUGGAAGGGCCAUCGCUCAACGGAUAAAAGCUACCCCGGGGAUAACAGGCUUAUCUCCCCCAAGAGUUCACAUCGACGGGGAGGUUUGGCACCUCGAUGUCGGCUCAUCGCAUCCUGGGGCUGUAGUCGGUCCCAAGGGUUGGGCUGUUCGCCCAUUAAAGCGGUACGCGAGCUGGGUUCAGAACGUCGUGAGACAGUUCGGUCCCUAUCCGUCGUGGGCGUAGGAAAUUUGAGAGGAGCUGUCCUUAGUACGAGAGGACCGGGAUGGACAUACCUCUGGUGUACCAGUUGUCGUGCCAACGGCAUAGCUGGGUAGCUAUGUGUGGACGGGAUAAGUGCUGAAAGCAUCUAAGCAUGAAGCCCCCCUCAAGAUGAGAUUUCCCAACUUCGGUUAUAAGAUCCCUCAAAGAUGAUGAGGUUAAUAGGUUCGAGGUGGAAGCAUGGUGACAUGUGGAGCUGACGAAUACUAAUCGAUCGAAGACUUAAUC